AUACAUUACAGCCCAACUUCAAAACUAGGUUUGUGUAUCUUUCAGUACACUUUCUACAUUCUCUAAUUACUCUGACUGUUGAUUCCACUGAAGAGGGACCCAAACUUCUUUGCCACAUGUUAUAGCCCUGGCCAAGGUGACAGCAUGUGGCUAUCAGCACCACAACAUCCUUUUGCACCUGAGUCCUAGAGCUGCCUUUGGCUAGCCAGUCAUUGAGGUAGGGAUAGAUCUGGACACCCCAAUGUUUGAGAUCGAGGAUGGUGUAGCAGUCUCCCAGAUCCAGAGAAGGGAUGAUGGAGGCCAGGGAGACCAUACGGAACUUCAGCUUUUCUAGGAAGCAGCUCAAGUCUUGCAGGUCCAGGAUAGGUCGCAGACUACCCUUGACCUUAGGGCUUGCCCGUCGAAGGGGAGGUCUUGCAUCGACUGCUGAGCCUCUGUGAACAAACCGGAGAGGAGCACCCAGGAUGCCCAGCGCAUAGCGAUGUCCGAGGCCAUGGUUUGGGCAGCAGUGUCUGCUGCAUCCAACACUGCCUGGAGGGUCGCCCUGGCCACAGUCGUGCCCUCCUCUAUGAUAGCCUGGAACUCGUUCCUAGAAGCCUCAGGAAAGGAGACCUCAAACUUGGCCAUGGCUUUUCACAUGUUCAAGUCAUAGCGUCCCAGGAGCACCUGAUGGUUGGCCACCCUCAACUGGAGACUAGAGGACGAAUAAACU